rnacentral:rRNA from 1 species
AUUGAACGCUGGCGGCAUGCCUUACACAUGCAAGUCGAACGGCAGCACGGGGCAACCUGGUGGCGAGUGGCGAACGGGUGAGUAAUGCAUCGGAACGUGCCAUUGAGUGGGGGAUAACGUAGCGAAAGUUGCGCUAAUACCGCAUAUUCUGUGAGCAGGAAAGAGGGGGAUCGCAAGACCUCUUGCUUUAGGAGCGGCCGAUGUCGGAUUAGCUAGUUGGUGAGGUAAAGGCUCACCAAGGCGACGAUCCGUAGCGGGUCUGAGAGGAUGAUCCGCCACACUGGGACUGAGACACGGCCCAGACUCCUACGGGAGGCAGCAGUGGGGAAUUUUGGACAAUGGGCGAAAGCCUGAUCCAGCCAUGCCGCGUGAGUGAAGAAGGCCUCGGGUUGGUUAAAGGUACUCUUUCCGGUUGGGGGUAAGGAAAGUUAGGCAUGGGCUAAUACCCUGUGUAGAUGACGGUACC